rnacentral:rRNA from 1 species
GACGAACGCUGGCGGCGUGCCUAAUACAUGCAAGUAGAACGCUGACGAGAGGAGCUUGCUCUUCUUGGAUGAGUUGCGAACGGGCGAGUAACGCGUAGGUAACCUGCCUUGUAGCGGGGGAUAACUAUUGGAAAAGAUAGCUACUACCGCCUAACACUGGCUGCCACAUAUAACAUAUUUGCUAGGGGCCAUUGCCCCACUACAAGAUGGAUCUGCGUUGUAUUAGCUAGUAGGUGAGGUAAAGGCCCACCUAGGCGACGGUACCUAGCCGACCUGAAUGGGUGGUCGGGCAAACUGGGACUGGGGAAAGGGCCAGGCUCCUUACGGAGGGAGCAGGAGGGAAACAUCGGCAAUUGGGGGAACCCUGGCCGAGCAACGCCGGGUGAGUGGAGGAAGUUUUCGGAGCGUAAAGCUCUGUUGUAAGGGAAGGACGAGUGGGAGGUUGGAAAGUUCACGCUGUGACGGUAGCUUACCAGAAAGGGACGGCUAACUACGUG